CAAGUAGAACGCUGAAGGAGGAGCUUGCUUCUCUGGAUGAGUUGCGAACGGGUGAGUAACGCGUAGGUAACCUGCCUGGUAGCGGGGGAUAACUAUUGGAAACGAUAGCUAAUACCGCAUAAGAGUAGAUGUUGCAUGACAUUUACUUAAAAGGUGCAAUUGCAUCACUACCAGAUGGACCUGCGUUGUAUUAGCUAGUUGGUGGGGUAACGGCUCGCCAAGGCGACGAUACAUAGCCGACCUGAGAGGGUGAUCGGCCACACUGGGACUGAGACACGGCCCAGACUCCUACGGGAGGCAGCAGUAGGGAAUCUUCGGCAAUGGACGGAAGUCUGACCGAGCAACGCCGCGUGAGUGAAGAAGGUUUUCGGAUCGUAAAGCUCUGUUGUAAGAGAAGAACGAGUGUGAGAGUGGAAAGUUCACACUGUGACGGUAUCUUACCAGAAAGGGACGGCUAACUACGUGCCAGCAGCCGCGGUAAUACGUAGGUCCCGAGCGUUGUCCGGAUUUAUUGGGCGUAAAGCGAGCGCAGGCGGUUAGAUAAGUCUGAAGUUAAAGGCUGUGGCUUAACCAUAGUACGCUUUGGAAACUGUUUAACUUGAGUGCAAGAGGGGAGAGUGGAAUUCCAUGUGUAGCGGUGAAAUGCGUAGAUAUAUGGAGGGACACCGGUGG
rnacentral:rRNA from 1 species